rfam:Propionibacterium sp. oral taxon 192 str. F0372 genomic scaffold acKdT-supercont1.2, whole genome shotgun sequence.
UUCGGUGGCCAUAGCGAGAGGGAAACACCCAGUUCCAUUCCGAACCUGGUAGUUAAGCCUUUCAGCGCCGAUUGUACUGCAGGGGGGACUCUGUGGGAGACUAGGACGCUGCCGGAC